GAAGGGAAGAAGAAACCACAUUGGAUCUCUUGGGAAUCAAUGAUAAAACCAAAAGGUAUGGGUGGCCUUGGCUUCAAAGAUUUUAAACUUUUUAACUUGGCAAUGUUAACUAAACCAGCAUGGCGCAUAUUACAACAUCCAGAGUCUCUCAGUGCACGUCUGCUAAAGAUCAUUUAUUUUUUCAAUUUCUCUAUUCUUGACGUGACACUUGGUAGUCAUCUGAGCCACGUAUCAAGGGCUAUCAUUGAAGGAAGGGACACAUUGAAGCAAGGAUUAAUAAUACGCAUAGGUAACGGGGAGACCACAAGAAUAUAUGAAGAUAAUUGGUUUCCAAGGGAUGAAAUGUUGCGACCUUAUGGUUGUCUAGUACCCAACCCAUCUCACUUCUGCAACAUGGAAUAA
rnacentral:rRNA from 1 species